rnacentral:rRNA from 1 species
AACGAACGCUGGCGGCAGGCCUAACACAUGCAAGUCGAGCGAGAUCUUCGGGUCUAGCGGCGGACGGGUGAGUAACGCGUGGGAAUAUGCCUCUUGGUACGGAAUAGCCUCGGGAAACUGGGAGUAAUACCGUAUGUGCCCUUUGGGGGAAAAAUUUAUCGCCAAGAGAUUAGCCCGCGUUGGAUUAGGUAGUUGGUGGGGUAAUGGCCUACCAAGCCGACGAUCCAUAGCUGGUUUGAGAGGAUGAUCAGCCACACUGGGACUGAGACACGGCCCAGACUCCUACGGGAGGCAGCAGUGGGGAAUCUUAGACAAUGGGGGCAACCCUGAUCUAGCCAUGCCGCGUGAGUGAUGAAGGCCUUAGGGUUGUAAAGCUCUUUCAGCUGGGAAGAUAAUGACGGUACCAGCAGAAGAAGCCCCGGCUAACUCCGUG